ACUAUAUUCACCCGCUUCGGAUGUUAUCAGUCUACAAUGGGCGUUAUUAGCAGAAAUCAGUCCCAUAUCUCCACCUGCUAGAUUGUUCAGAAGGUUGUUAUCAUCCAUCCAGAUGGAGGAUCACUGACAGGAGCGUGGGAAGACUCCAGAAUCCACUCUGGCUGGAAUCCGGUGGAUACAGCAGUGUUACAGUUCUCCACAGUCACUGUCCACAUGGGUCAGUGGGACCAAGCAGCACUCUGCUAAUGUGUGGACUCUGACCAGCAACAUCCAGCAAGACCCAGACAGCGUUUUCUAUCUCCCAGCUGGAGUUUUUUGUUUGUCUGUGACUGGAGAGUCAGAUUUUUGUUGAGGCUGGAGGAACAGCCUCACACUGGCAGAGGUAAGUCAGUUUGCAGAGAUCCCUCCCUCCAAGCGGAAGCGAAUGGAUGGAUGGAUGGACACAGUAAUGUGAAGUAUGCUUAUAUCUAGUAUAACUGAACCAACGUGGUGCUCUUCAUUUAUGGAGGCUGUUUGAGUCUGAAUGUUGGAUGUUGUGUAUCUCGUGUUCUCUGGGCUUUGUUGUCCUCAGUCUCUUUGCAGGAUCAGAAAACAAAACCAGGAGGCGCGUAAAUGUUUCUUCUCCAAUUGGAUGAUGAUAAGACCAUGACACGGGAUGCCACCUUUAGUCUUCUGAUGAAGCAAAGCUCAGGAAGAAGUGUGAUUAAAUGGUAUCCACAUGUGUGCUGCUGAGGAGGAUGUACAGGGGUACCUGCAGCCAAAUCCAAGCCUCUUCAGGUUAGUUGUAGUUGCAGAAUGCUAUAGUACUGAGACAGCUGAGGAAUCAAAUGUUUGAUUAAACAGAUGGAAAAGAGAAGUUUCUUCCCUAUAAUUAUCACUUUUUAAAAUCUGUAGCAACAGAUGGUGACGGUGUGGAGAGACGGUGGUGUUUCCUCAGAAGAACUAGCAGAGUCACAAAGGGCACCAGUCCAUCUCACCGCCUUGACUUGCUGACUGAUGCUUGUCUGCACCGCACAUUCCCCCCCCUCUGUCCCCUUCUGGCUGCCUCUGCCUCAAUUUUAUCCCACAACUUAGACAUUCACAUUACUCACACUCUCAUUACACAUACAUAUAGGAUCUUGGGGUGGGCACGCCACACAGAAUCCAAAUUACCAUCAGGGUGUACACCUCACCCCCUGGCGCGUUGCCCACCUCUCAAUUUUAAAUACACGUAGACAUUGAGGGCUAGCAGGAGGGGCUAUGCGCCUACCUGCUGCUCUGGCAGGUAGCUCCAUGCCCUCCUGGGUUUUAAAUGCACCUUAGAACACACAUACAUCAACACUACAUAUGAGC
ensembl:lncRNA